CCUACGGGAGGCAGCAGUGGGGAAUAUUGGGCAAUGGAGGAAACUCUGACCCAGCGACGCCGCGUGCGGGAUGAAGGCCUUCGGGUUGUAAACCGCUUUCAGUAGGGAAGAAGCGAAAGUGACGGUACCUACAAAAGAAGCACCGGCUAACUAUGUGCCAGCAGCCGCGGUAAUACAUAGGGUGCAAGCGUUGUCCGGAAUUAUUGGGCGCAAAGAGCUCGUAGGUCGUUUGUUACGUCGGAUGUGAAAACCUGAGGCUCAACCUCAGGCCUGCAUUCGAUACGGGCAAACUAGAGUUUGGUAGGGGAGACUGGAAUUCCUGGUGUAGCGGUGGAAUGCGCAGAUAUCAGGAGGAACACCAAUGGCGAAGGCAGGUCUCUGGGCCAAUACUGACACUGAGGAGCGAAAGUCUGGGGAGCGAACAGGAUUAGAUACCCUGGUAGUCCAGACCGUAAACGGUGGGCACUAGUUGUGGGAACCUUCCACGGUUUCUGCGACGCAGCUAACGCAUUAAGUGCCCCGCCUGGGGAGUACGAUCGCAAGAUUAAAACUCAAAUGAAUUGACGG
rnacentral:rRNA from 1 species